rnacentral:rRNA from 1 species
UACGAUGGACCCGAGCGUUAUCCGGAUUUAUUGGGUUUAAAGGGUGCGUAGGCGGACUUAUAAGUCAGUGGUGAAAUCUCCGGGCUUAACUCGGAAACUGCCAUUGAAACUAUUUGUCUUGAGUACAUUUGAGGCGGGCGGAAUGUGUCAUGUAGAGGUGAAAUUCUUAGAUAUGACACAGAACACCAAUUGCGAAGGCAGCUCGCUAAACUGUAACUGACGCUGAGGCACGAAAGCGUGGGGAUCAAACAGG